AAAUUGUGUAAAAACAUCUGCUUCUACCGAAAAAAAAAAGAGAAAAGAAAUGAAAAUAAUAAUAAUAGAGAAAUGAAGUAUAAGCACUUGCCUAGGUCAUAGGCUCAUGCAUUAAUGUGAUACUCUAAAGAAAAAUUCGAGUGAAAAAGAGUCAAGAUUGGAUGACACCCCAUAAAAUAAUUUGUGCACAAAGAAAAACAACAACAUGAAUGUCGAGUUCUAAAACCUUUUGAAAUUCAUUUUCUUGUCU
rnacentral:lncRNA from 1 species